GCAAAUGUUAUUAUCUCUGUUAUGGUGCUAGGUUAUAUGACAAGCUCGCAGUCGGGGACUGGGCAAGCCUUGACUCUGCAGCCAGCAGCAGCUGCUCUCCUUGGUUAAAUGCCACACGCCAGCAGCCCCCAGGAUGUGAGGUCCUGGCCAGGAGCACAAGGCCCCUCAGCCAGAUGGGCAAGAGCAAGCGCUGGAAAGCUGCUCCCAUUUCCUUGAGGUAACUCAGACGUCACAGAGGCCUUGUUCAGAGUCACAAGCAGGCAGGGAUAUCAAAGACAUGCCCUGCCUUUGAUAUAGUUGCCAUUUCCUCAUACCGAGUUUCAAAAUCCCCAAUUUUCCUUGGGUAAGGAUCCAAACAAACAUGCUCCUAGGAUGAAAUAUUACCUUUUAUUUGAAGACAUCCCAUCAGGAAAGUUUUGAACGUGUUUCCAUUGUGUAGGUUUGCUGUACAAUUCCAGAUGCUAGAUAUUAGGAAAAACUGGAUAUUAGGAAAGGUUUCUCCUCAGAAAGAGUGGUGAGCUAUUGGACCAGGCUGCCCAGUGAGAUGGUGGAGUCACUGCCCCUGGGGGUGCUCGAGAAACAAGCAGAUGUGGCACAGAGGGACGUGGUUCAGUACGCACUGUGGGGAAGGGUUGAUGUUUGGACUAGGUGAUCUUAGUGGUCUUUUCCAACCUUGCUGAUUCUAUCAUACUUUUCCAGUGCUUGAAAACAUGACAACAUUGCAGAAAGACGACGCUGCAGGUUUACCCCAGACAAAAAGUGAUGUGCUGCUCGGAGAUAAGGAAAUACAGCACGAUAGGUCUCCAAAGGUAGGGGUUCUGAGGAGUCAUGGAUCAUGCGGUGAUGAAGGAGAAGGGGCAGAGAGGAUAAAGAAAAGCUGCAGCUAUGAGGCUUGCCUGAGACAAAUCGGUUAUUACUGCCCUAAAAAUAAAUGCAUUUAUCUGAAACAUUUCCAUAUUUAGAAUACUAAAAUCAGCCAAAUCCAAAACAUUCCUAUUAAAACAUGGAGCUGAUUUCAAUUCCACCCAUAGUGCAGUGAAUUCUCACAAGAAAAUAAAGAUUCUCAGCUCUUGAAAAUAAGUAUUGGCAGUUAUUUCCCCCAGUUGUGUCAUUCUGGUACCUUUCACGAUGAUAAACAGUCAGUUCCUUGUUUGUUACAAACACAG
ensembl:lncRNA